UUCCGAAGUUUUCCUCAGCAGUUAACUGCAGCCGGUUCUUUAAGAUUUCGGCAGUUAAUUGCUGAAGGAUAU
rnacentral:pre_miRNA from 1 species